UACGAAGGGGGCUAGCGUUGCUCGGAAUCAUUGGGCGUAAAGGGAGUGUAGGCUGCUUGUUAAGUCUUCUGUGAAAUCUACGGGCUCAGCCUGUAACGUGCAGAGGAAACUGGCGAGCUUGAGUGUCGGAGAGGAUAGGGGAAUACCCGGUGUAGAGGUGAAAUUCGUAGAGAUCGGGUGGAACACCAGUGGCGAAGGCGCCUAUCUGGCUGACAACUGACGCUGAGACUCGAAAGCAUGGGGAGCAAACAGG
rnacentral:rRNA from 1 species